CCUACGGGGGGCAGCAGUGGGGAGUAUUGCACAAUGGGGGAAACCCUGAUGCAGCGACGCCGCGUGAGUGAAGAAGUAAUUCGUUACGUAAAGCUCUAUCAGCAGGGAAGAAACACUGACCUUACGGUCAGCAGACGGUACCUGAGUAAGAAGCCCCGGCUAACUACGUGCCAGCAGCCGCGGUAAUACGUAGGGGGCAAGCGUUAUCCGGAUUUACUGGGUGGAAAGGGGGCGUAGACGGUGCGCCAAGUCUGGAGUGAAAUGCCGCAGCUUAACUGCGGAACUGCUUUGGAAACUGGCGAACUAGAGUGCGGGAGGGGUAAGCGGAAUUCCUAGUGUAGCGGUGAAAUGCGUAGAUAUUAGGAGGAACACCGGUGGCGAAGGCGGCUUACUGGACCGUAACUGACGUUGAGGCUCGAAAGCGUGGGGAGCAAACAGGAUUAGAUACCCUAGUAGUC
rnacentral:rRNA from 1 species